rnacentral:rRNA from 1 species
UACGAAGGGGGCUAGCGUUGCUCGGAAUCACUGGGCGUAAAGCGCACGUAGGCGGCCUUUUAAGUCAGGGGUGAAAUCCUGGAGCUCAACUCCAGAACUGCCUUUGAUACUGAGAAGCUUGAGUCCGGGAGAGGUGAGUGGAACUGCGAGUGUAGAGGUGAAAUUCGUAGAUAUUCGCAAGAACACCAGUGGCGAAGGCGGCUCACUGGCCCGGUACUGACGCUGAGGUGCGAAAGCGUGGGGAGCGAACAGG